ensembl:lncRNA
UAAGGUUUUCUGUCUGAAUAAGUUUAAUACAUAAAAAAAAAGUGGUCAAAAAUAACAUGUUGAUGCAGUGUGCACAUUAUGAGAGAGAAGAUGACUACAUCUAGCUUUGGUACUUUCCUCCCAGAGAUCUGCUGUCCUGCUGGUCUCAUCUUCGCUGAGGACCUCUUUGAGGUGCUCCUACCUGGGCCAGCUAGAUGUUUGUGUGAUGGACUCUCCUCAUACUCAGAAAUGGGUGUGGGAUUUUGCCCGCAGCUGCUAGGUCUGAAAGGACCAUUCCCCUGUGAAAGGAUCUGCCUAGAAAAGCAUGGGACAAGAGGAAAGGACAGGAGAGGAAUAUCCUUACGUUGUUAGAUUUGCGGACCAUCUUCAGUUGUCACAGAAAGUGCUCGAAUGGUCAAGGAUGAGAUCUUAUCCAGAACACCAUAUGUUCGAGCAUGAUCACAGAGGUGGAGUAGGCCAUGCAUGUUAUAAGUAAUGUACUCUGCUGCUGUACAGCUUCCUAAAGGUGUCCACAAAUAAACCUAGCAGGCUGUGAGGGGAGUGGAUGUUCAGAGAGAAACUCUCUGGAAGAUGGUCAUGGCUGCACAUAGGAGCAUGAAGUUUUGAUAUCUUCUCAGCAACCUGAACGUCAUCUUGAUGACCACAUCUUGGUCACAUCUCGGAGCUGCUGUACCUUAAAGGAAUGUUAUCCGCACCAAAUAAUGCAGCUCCCUCGCAUGACACACACUGGAAGCCUCUGUGACCUUUUGCUUUUCUUAUAAAUGCAUGGACUGGGUCCUCACACACAAUAGCAGAAAGGUGUGCGUCUUGGUAAUGAAUGCUUUCUGUUUCCAGCUGAAGAUCUUAAUGAAAUCAUGUAGAAAAUGAAAGUAAUAUCCCAAUAUUAAAAACUUAAAGAUUCUGCACCUUUCAAAUGGGUACCUCCAUUACCCCCUUGGGAAGGAUUGUAAUUG